rnacentral:rRNA from 1 species
UACGGAGGGUGCGAGCGUUGUCCGGAAUCAUUGGGCGUAAAGAGCGUGUAGGCGGUCCGGUAAGUCGGCUGUGAAAGUCCAGGGCUCAACCCUGGGAUCGCCGGUCGAUACUGCCGGACUAGAGUUCGGAAGAGGCGAGUGGAAUUCCCGGUGUAGCGGUGAAAUGCGCAGAUAUCGGGAGGAACACCUAUGGCGAAGGCAGCUCGCUGGGACGUUACUGACGCUGAGACGCGAAAGCGUGGGGAGCAAACAGG